rnacentral:rRNA from 1 species
UCUGGGAGUAAACGGGUGGUACCCGAAAGUUUGAAAGGGGGGAUUCAAGUCUCGCCGCGCGCCGGGCGGCAGACGCGAGCAGAGAUGGCAUUUUCCGCGUUCGAGGGAUGACUCUCGGCCCGCGGGAGCGCCACUCCGCGGCCGCCGUCUCUCCCAGCAUUGGAGUGACGCACUUCUCCCCAAGUAGGACGUCGCGACCCGUCGAGCGCCGGCCUAAGGCCGCGGGUGGAGCCUGCGUGGCCUGCCUCUACAGGAGGGGAGGCCGACCGCGCACGACCCCGCGAGUCCCGGCCGGGAGCGAGACGGUACGAAGCAAAGAAAGAGUCGACGCGCCGAUACUGUUUCUUGGCGUCCGGCCCUCCGCAAGCGGCCGCGGGAGUCCGGGCUGCGGGCCCAACCCGAUACCGGUCCCUCCGCGGGGCUGUUUGCGAGGAGGAGGUGUCCUCGGACGGCGUUGAUUCUACAGUCGGCGACGAUUCAGCUUGGAUGGCCUACCCGACCC